GUCUAUCCAGAGAUACUCGACAAAAUUGGAAAGAUAUAAAGAUUAGCACAGCCCUUGCACAGAGAUACCAUGCACAAAUGGAGAAAUGGUCUAACUAUUC
rfam:Eucalyptus grandis cultivar BRASTZ1 unplaced genomic scaffold scaffold_5, whole genome shotgun sequence.